UACGUAGGGGGCAAGCGUUGUCCGGAUUUAUUGGGCGUAAAGAGCGUGUAGGCGGUUAGGUAGGUCCGUUGUGAAAACUCGAGGCUCAACCUCGAGACGCCGAUGGAAACCAUCUAACUAGAGUCCGGAAGAGGAGAGUGGAAUUUCGUGUGUAGGGGUGAAAUCCGUAAAUAUACGAAGGAACGCCAAAAGCGAAGGCAGCUCUCUGGGUCCCUACCGACGCUGGGGUGCGAAAGCAUGGGGAGCGAACAGG
rnacentral:rRNA from 1 species